rnacentral:ncRNA from 1 species
GUGUUGUAUGAAAAGGAGAGAAGGUUAGCACUCCCCUUGAUAAGGAUGGGAGAGGUCCUAGUGCCUUUACAACACAUAUACGGUUAAAGCAUUGCCACCUACUCUGUGGCAUCUACCAUGUUUUUUG